UCAGAGGGCGCGGCGCCCAAGAGGGCCUCGAUGAUGGGCGACUCGAUGGCGCUCAUGAGUACAAUGUCACCCAGCACGGGCACCAUAUACAGGCGCAUGGCAAAGAGGUCGGUGAAAUGAGGCAGGGGACCGAUUGCACAGAAACCUCGCGCCUGGCGGCGCACCUGGCGGUUGACAAAGCCGAGCACGGCCUCGUGCGCCUGGCGUGAGGCCAAAAUCGUCGCGGUCGUUGCAUCGCCGCCGUGGACCCACGCCGCCAGUUGGUCUGCAUCGACAAGGCCUCUGAGAGCGUCGUCUGCGAGACGCCGUCGGUCCUCGGCGCCCUUGAUGUAAAAGAGCGGUUGGACACUGGGCGGGAUGGGCAAAGCAAGGCCCUGUGCGCCCGUCUCGACGCCGCGGCGCGCCAGGCGGCCCGUGAGCAUGGCAACGUCGUCGGCCGAUGCGUGUCCGUCGCCGUGAAAUCCGGGCGACUCGGCAAACAGACGGCCGAUCAGACCCGGUCGGCCUUGGCGAGAGGGCGUCGUGAUCCACCGGUACCAGGCGGCGGCGCGAUUCUGCAGAGGUCCGAGGCGCGGCGAGGUGGCGACGCGACCAACCAAGUCCACUCCCGGAUGGACCGUGUUGAGGGCGCGCGAGACGACGGCCGGCUCUAGGCCGCGGCUUUCGGCCGACGACGCAUGCGCAAACAGGAACCGCACAUAGGCCUCCAUGAGGCACGCGGCCACGGCCAGGGCGUGGCACACGCCGUCGGGCUGUGACACCGGGGCGGCACUGAUCACACCCUCAUAGGCAUCUAGGGCAGGGAGACAGUGGCGCCGACGCAAGUCACGCUCUCUGGAAAAGAGGCCGUUGUACAAAAGGGCACCUGACGACGGUGGCGGCAGCGCAGAACUGCGCCAUUGACCUCGGCCGGCGGCGGCAUAUCUGGCGAUCCAGUCCAGAGGGCCGGGUCCAUGCCCGCGCGCUCCCCAUUCGACGCAUUCUUCGAUUAGCGCCAUCUGGGUCUCGCCCUUUUUUGCGUUGCGGCCGACGGCUUCUGUGGUCGUCGACGAGGCGCAAGGCGAAUGCGACACGAUCCACGGACGGGGCCGUGCGAGGGCGAUGGCAUGCGCAGGAUACGGGUGCGAGGGAUCAGCCUCUGCCAUGGGCGGCCAAAGGGUUCGGGAAAGAAAGGACGACAUUGUUGAUUCUAGGUGCGCUCGAAACUGACGCCGCCGUGGCGGUGCACCGACAGGCUGCACCUUUUUUUUUUCUUCCCUCUCCUUCCUCCCUCUCUCGGUCACCUUUUUCUCCUAAAGCAACCGCGACCACGCGCGCUCGGCCCGCAUUACUAAAUC
rnacentral:lncRNA from 1 species